rnacentral:rRNA from 1 species
GUAGGGAAUAUUGCACAAUGGAGGAAACUCUGAUGCAGCGACGCCGCGUGAGUGAUGAAGGCCUUCGGGUCAUAAAGCUCUGUCGCAGGGGAAUAACACAAUGAAGGUACCCUGUAAGAAAGGAUCGGCUAACUUCGUGCCAGCAGCCGCGGUAAGACGAGGGAUCCUAGCGUUGUUCGGAAUCAUUGGGCGUAAAGCGGAUGUAGGUGGCUAUGUAAGUCAGAUGUGAAAGCCUGGGGCUCAACCCCAGAAGUGCAUUUGAUACUGCGUAGCUUGAGUGUCGGAGAGGUUACUAGAAUUGUUGGUGUAGUGGUGAAAUACGUAGAUAUCAACAGGAAUACCGGAGGCGAAGGCGGGUAACUGGCCGAACACUGACACUGAGAUCCGAAAGCGUGGGGAGCAAACAGGAUUAGAUACCCGAGUAGUCC